UGUGCAUCUCCAGCCAGAGAGGAGGACGAGCAAAGCUUUCCACAGUGUUUCUUCAUGUGCCUAAUCAUCCCAGGCAUGCCUCUGGUUUCCUCCCUGGCCCUCCAAGCUCAUAGUUUGUUUCCUUCUGUGGUGAAUGUGGGCACGUCUCGCAGCUCAGGGUGGAGAGCCAUGAAUCAUAAGCAAGAGGCGCUAAGAACACUGCGUUUCUGCUGCUUCCCCCACAAGUCCCAGACAGCCUCGUGGGAUCCAACUCUGACCCCAGUGGAGUUCUUCAUCCAUGACUGGUGCCUUCAGGAAUGUGUCUGUGGGCAGCAAGAAGAGUUUCAAAUGCAGUAGAAUGGGGCCACUGACUUUUUUCCUUUCUUUCCAGGCUGGAUGGCAAGAGGGCCCUGAAGGUUGGUGAACUGCACGAGUAGGUAGACACAGAGGCCCGAGGCCUGCUGCUGAGUCAUUUCAAUCUGUUUCAGAUUCGAUUUGCUCAGUGCAUGGAGAAGAACAAGGCUCCCAGUGGAGAUAUCAUGUAGCUAGAGCCUAGAAGUAUUUUCUUAAUAGAUGAAAUUUAGAAAGAAUUUGAAUCUUCUGUGCUGGGGAGGUAGGUCGCCGAGUGAAAUGGUUGGGAAAAGGAAACAUUUGGCUCCAGUGAUUCCAAAGGACAUUUCACUGAUCUAAAUAUUUGUCCAGCUGAAUUACUAUGUCCACUGUCACCUGCCUGGAAUCAAUAUGUUCAAAUCAAACACUGUCAUCGGCAUCUGAGCGUGGAGAAAGAACUUCUUAAACCUGAGCUGGCAACUGGGAGGGUGAGAGAGGAAUCAGACAAGGAGCUAGGACAGGGGAGCUCUUUGCCACCAAGUGGGGGACCUGCAACAAUGGUCAAACCCCUAGAGUUCGCAUCUGGAUCCCGUGAUUCAGUGACAAGCUUCAGAUCGUCGAGGUGCGGUGAAUAACUUUGAUGGUCAGGACAGCGUAUGCAUUUUUUGAAAAAGACUUUACCUGUUGGAACAAACACUUGCUCUUUUUGCUUUAGCCUUGAACCUCUCAGGAUGCAGACAGACCACUGUGCUCGGAAGGCGCGGACAAAGCUGAGCAUACCGUUCUCCUCACUUUUUGAGGAGUUUUCUUAAGAUGCCUGUGUCAAGGCCUUUUGAUUCUGAGUCAUGUGAGUGUUCUCCAAGGGGAAAAAAAAAAGGAGCACUUUUCGAUUUCACACUGUUUCUCACCAAAUGCAUGCAAGUUGGCACAACAGGUAGCCCAGAUGUUUACAGCCCCUGUGGCGGGUUCACAGAGGCACUAGCACCUUCCCAGGCCCUGCCUUACAUGCAGUGUGGAAUUAGGUGGUGAACCCAUGACAGUGCGGGAGAAUCAGGAAGGACCAGAGUCCCGCGGCUCCCAUCGGCGACAGAGGAGUCUGCACAUUUGUGUGGACAGCAGUGUGCCCAGGGGCCGGUUCCUGCCACUCCUGUCACCACAGCUAUGCAGCCAAGGACACGUUGGAUCUUGUGACCCACCCUCUGUGGACUGAAGGAAAAGCGCUUCUGGGCCCUAUACAUGCUCUUUACGUGCUUGUCCGGAAAGGAGAAGGUAGCAAGAUGCAGUGACCAUUUUUGUCAUCGUUCUUAAUGUGGUAGAGUGAUUGCAAAAAUGUCCCCAACUCUUCACCCUUCCUCGAAGCCACACCUCUGCAGCGUGACGUUGCAUUUCCUCCCGCCAGUAAGUGUCUCCCUGCGCUUGUAAAUCUGGACUGGUCUUGUGACUCACUUUGACCAACAGAAUAUAGGGUCAGUGAUGGUGUGCCAGUUCUAAGCCUCAGCCUCAAGAGGCAUUGAGCACUUGUGCCCUUUCUCUUGGACCCGUGGUUGACCUAUGAUUGUGCUCUUUCUCCUGGACCACGGGACCACCGUGGUCCUGGGGGGACCUGGACCACCAGCAUCUGCGCUGCUGGAUGAAAGAGACACUGCCCCGGUCCCCCUGUCACUCUCGCUGAGAGCCAAACAACUGCCAGACUUCUGAGUGAGGCCUUCCUAGACCUAGCAGCCCUUGGCCCAUCUGCCCGCUGACCACAGAUCCGAGGAAGCCAAAUCAGGAUCAACCAAACCUGGCCCAAGUUAGCAGCACUGCCCGGCUGAGCCGUAGACCUGUGAGCAAAAGCAAAUGCCUGUCGUGGUUCCCUUCACCUUUCCUGCCCAGAAUGUCCAUUCAUUCAUUCGAAAAUUCACGUUGAUGCUUAAAUUGUGCAAGGCACUGCUUCAGGCCCUAAGGAUAUAAAAUGGUGCAAUGAGGAGCCUGUGGAGAAUUUAAAGCAAAGGAGGAACAGGAUCUGACCUACAUGAGUCUGAACCAUCAGGAAGGAUGGGCCAACAAGAGUAGAAGGAAGGAGAUCAUUUAGGAGGCUCUUGCGGUCACACAGGUAAGAGAUGUUGGAGGCCUGGAGCACCAUGGGGGCCACAGGGAUGGUGAGAGGUACACAGGCGCUGGGGAGGUCUCAAAGCAACCGUCAUCUACAGGUCUGCAGUUGGGCUGAAUGGAGGAGAAAAGCAAGGGGCCGAGAAGGAUUCUAGGACUAGACUAGCCACAGAGGUGCCAUUUACUGAGACAGAGGACACAGGGGCAGGAGCAUAUUUACGGGAGAAAAUCAAGAUUUCAGUGCUGGACAUUAAAAGUUUGAGAGGCCUCUUCAACAUCUAAGGGAAUAUGACUAUAAAGCAAUACAUAACAGAGUAUAUGAGUGUGGGUUUCCAAAAUGGACCAGGGCUUAAGAAUAGGGGUAUACAUUUGAGAGACAUGACUCUAACGAUGGUAUUUAAAGCCACAGAACUGGAUGAGAUUCCCCAAAGUAAGGAUGUGGAUGGAGAAGAAGAGGAGUCAAGGUGCAGAUCCCGAGGCAAAGCAACACUUAGGGGUCCAGCCGAGGAUUCUAAGGAAGAAAACCCAGUAGAGAAAAACCAAGAGGGUAUGAAAUUACAAAAGGCAAGAGAGUGUUAAGCAAUGAGGGUAUGAGUUACAAUUGCUAUAGUCACUGGGCUUACUUCACAAGAACACCAUUAUCAGGAAACCAGCAUUAUACCCAAUCACCCACCUGUCAACCCCAGGAGCCAUUUCAGCAUUCACUCCUCAGAUAUAUCAGUGUUAUGGGUUGCACUGUGUCAAUAAAAUAAGUUAUGUUGGAGUCCUCA